CUCGCCCCUGGGGAGGGGAGAUGGGACCCAGGUGUCCGGGAGAGCAGAGCAGGACGCUCGCCCCUGGGGAGGGGAGCUGGGACCCAGGUGUCCGGGAGAGCAGGGCAGGACGCUCGCCCCUGGGGAGGGGAGCUGGGACCCAGGUGUCCGGGAGAGCAGGGCAGGAUGCUCGCCCCUGGGGAGGGGAGCUGGGACCCAGGUGUCCGGGAGAGCAGAGCAGGAUGCUCGCCCCUGGGGA